rnacentral:rRNA from 1 species
GAUGAACGCUGGCGGCGUGCCUAAUACAUGCAAGUCGAGCGAACAGACGAGGAGCUUGCUCCUCUGACGUUAGCGGCGGACGGGUGAGUAACACGUGGAUAACCUACCUAUAAGACUGGGAUAACUUCGGGAAACCGGAGCUAAUACCGGAUAAUAUAUUGAACCGCAUGGUUCAAUAGUGAAAGACGGUUUUGCUGUCACUUAUAGAUGGAUCCGCGCCGCAUUAGCUAGUUGGUAAGGUAACGGCUUACCAAGGCAACGAUGCGUAGCCGACCUGAGAGGGUAAACGGCCCAACGGGAACUGAGACACGGUCCAGACCCCUACGGGAGGCAGCCGGAGGGGUUCUUCCGCAAGGGGCGAAAGCCUGAGGGAGAAACGCCGGGGGAGGGAUGAAGUUUUUCGGAUCGUAAAACUCUGUUAUUAGGAAAGAACAAAUGUGUAAGUAACUAUGCCCGUUUGGACGGAACCUAACCAGAAAGCCACGGCCAACCACGU